CGCGUGCCAGCCGCGACGGGAAACCGGGUAGCUGGAUGGGGAUUAGUCGGUGAGUGCCCCAGCAUGGAGAAACCCCGACAGGC
rnacentral:sRNA from 1 species